UGAGGAAGCCCUGCAGCCCCGUGCACAGAUCCGCCUGAGAGAAAUCACAGACCGCGGGUCAGCGCCUGCAGAAGCCACACCGCCGACCUCCAGCGAGCCACGGUCACUCCUCUUUUCCUCUGCAGGACGCUACGCGUUCGAAUCGUCCACAGCGCACACGCGGGACACUCAGAAGCAAAGCAAGGCGGACGUUAAGAUGGAUGGAUGAUGGACGCACGAAGCCACCCGUGAAGGAAGACGGGGACUCAAGAUUCUGGCCUGGGGUUUGGCCAGAGUGACCUUGAGGUCCCCAUCCCCACCCGCCCUCCCGUCCAGGGCAAUGUCCGCAGGACGCCCUCUUACCAGUUUGCGGAUCCGGUCCAGGACCAGGUCGACGAUCUCCUUGCCGAUGGUAUAGUGGCCUCUGGCGUAAUUAUUGGCUGCGUCCUCCUUCCCGGUGAUCAGCUGCUCCGGGUGGAAGAGCUGCCGCUCCAGUCCAACUGCUCUCUUCAUAUUACCAGAUAACCUCGUUCCCUACUUACCCAGAAGCUUCACAACUUCCAGCCAGCAAAUGUGCAGAAGCUCUCCUCAUUCCUUUACUUUACAAUAAAACUAUGUUUCCUCCUAUCAAUAAUCUAUUGUUUCUAUUGAUCCCCUACCCAGCAACAGUCCUCAAAGUUAUCUGGAGUUGCCAAGCCACUGGAGAUCCAUAUACCUGUUCAGGAUACAUGGAAAUUAAAGCAAUAUCAUAGUCGGGACUGCUAAGGUGACCAGUCCUCCUCAUCAUGUUCACAACUGCAUUGAUGGUGCAUAAUUAGAGAGGCUGAUUGGAGGCCACCCCAAAAACCCAGCUGCCAACCUGGCUCCUUCAAGGCACAAUUUCUGAGGCGCCACCUGCACCUGCCGGCCCUCCCCUACCCCCAACCUCAGACACUCCCAUGAUGCAGGUCGCCGCUACCCUUGAGGCCCACACACCCAGAAGACAAGCGAGAGGAUGACGAUCUGCUCGUCCCCUUAGCCCCGGACCUCCCCUGCGCACCCCAGCCCCUUCUUCAGCCGACGCCUGCCCCCCUGCCAUGGAACCCCGGUCCCGGCGUCCGUCCUAGUC